rnacentral:rRNA from 1 species
UAGGGAAUCUUCCGCAAUGGACGCAAGUCUGACGGAGCAACGCCGCGUGAGUGAAGAAGGAUUUCGGUUCGUAAAACUCUGUUGUUAGAGAAGAACAGCGCAUAGAGUAACUGUUAUGCGUGUGACGGUAUCUAACCAGAAAGCCACGGCUAACUACGUGCCAGCAGCCGCGGUAAUACGUAGGUGGCAAGCGUUGUCCGGAUUUAUUGGGCGUAAAGCGAGCGCAGGCGGUCAAUUAAGUCUGAUGUGAAAGCCCCCGGCUCAACCGGUGAGGGUCAUUGGAAACUGGUUGACUUGAGUGCAGAAGAGGAGAGUGGAAUUCCAUGUGUAGCGGUGAAAUGCGUAGAUAUAUGGAGGAACACCAGUGGCGAAGGCGACUCUCUGGUCUGUAACUGACGCUGAGGCUCGAAAGCGUGGGUAGCAAACAGG